GUGUUUUCUAAAGUACAUGUGAUUUUGUGUCCUAUUUUUGUUUGGCUCCCAUGACUAUUCGUCAUUACAUAUAAAGGAAACAAAUAGCUGCUUGUUAUGGACUUGUAUUCUUAUUCUUUCACGCUGGUCUCUUAUGCGCAACAUUUAUUAUCCUUUUACAGGUUGCAUCUCUUUGCCCUUGGAAGUUGGAACUCUCCUUAUUAUUGCUAACUGUUAAUGCUAUCUGAACGUCACACCAUGAGAUCAUGAUGCCCUUUCUCACAGCGAAACUCGCUGGGCAGUAUGUAGCAGUAGAUGCAGUUGGACUACUGGUCUCAACACUGCAGGUUGUGCUUCUUCCCGUAUUGGCCGGUGCAUUUCUAAAUCAGUACUUCCAGGCCUAGUUAGACUUAUUUCCCCCUUGAUGCCACCCAUCGCGGUCGGGACUGUAGCCAUUCUUUGCGGGAAUGCUAUUGCCCAGAGCUCUUCUGCAAUCCUCAAGUCUGGACUGCAAGUGGUGCUUGCUGCCUCUCUUCUUCACGCAUCUGGAUUCUUCUUUGGCUACAUACUUUCUAGAUUGCUCGGGAUUGAUGUGGCAUCAGCGAGAACUAUCUCUAUUGAGGUUGGCAUGCAGAACUCGGUGCUCGGAGUUGUUCUGGCGACCCAACACUUUGGAAAUCCUUUAACAGCAGUUCCAUGUGCUGUUUCAAGUGUUUGCCAUUCCAUCUUUGGUAGUGUCCUGGCUGGAAUUUGGAGACAGAAUGUGCCCACCCAAACCCAAGAUUGAAUUAUGACUGAUUCUGGCUAGAAGAGGUCCCCUUUAGGAUCAAGAGCGCGACACGUGUCCUCUCGUAUCCGAAGAUCGAACUGCUCAAGCCUGAACAACAAAACCACCAAAGGACUUAGACAAGAUUGAAAUCGAAUUUUGGAGAUUUCCAUCGAUCCAGUUCCCUGUAUGGUAAGGGGGAACCAUGCUAAACACAGGCAGGGAGCCAUGUUGAAGACGGGCAGCUAUGGUAAACUUUUCUUGGAUUUUUAUUUUUGGUUUUCUUUUUAUCUUUGGGAGAACUGCACCCGCAUUCUUGAGUAGAUAAAUGGUUGUAACAUCUUAAAGAGGUGUUGGAAAGAUUAAAAAUGCACAUUGUAUUUUGUGUUUUAAACCGCGUUGUGAUCUUGAGCAUUACCAGACUCAGGAAAAAAAAUCUCAAGACGGUGCAAGUUUUCAUGGAUACCAAACCAAACAGUAUCAUACAAUGGAAAGUUACAAGCUUGCUAUUAAGACUGCAAAAUGCAAGUGCAAGCUACGCGUAAA